rnacentral:rRNA from 1 species
UACGUAGGGUGCAAGCGUUAAUCGGAAUUACUGGGCGUAAAGCGUGCGCAGGCGGUUUUGUAAGUCUGUCGUGAAAUCCCCCGGGCUCAACCUGGGAAUGGCGAUGGAGACUGCAAGGCUAGAGUUUGGCAGAGGGGGGUAGAAUUCCACGUGUAGCAGUGGAAAUGCGUAGAUAUGUGGAGGAACACCGAUGGCGAAGGCAGCCCCCUGGGUCAAAACUGACGCUCAUGACACGAAAGCGUGGGGAGCAACAGG